UUUCCGUAGGUGAACCUGCGGAAGGAUCAUUACAGAGUUCAUGCCCUCACGGGUAGAUCUCCCACCCUUGAAUAUUUAUACCCUAGUUGCUUUGGCAGGCCGUGGAAACACCAUGGGCCCCGGCUUAUGCGUGCAUGCCAGAGGAAACAAACUCUGCUUUUAGUGAUGUCUGAGUACUAUAUAAUAGUUAAAACUUUCAACAACGGAUCUCUUGGUUCUGACAUCGAUGAAGAACGCAGC
rnacentral:misc_RNA from 1 species